rnacentral:miRNA from 1 species
UACAGAUUGGUGUUAGUGCUU